rnacentral:rRNA from 1 species
AUACGUAGGUGGCGAGCGUUGUCCGGAUUUACUGGGCGUAAAGGGAGCGUAGGCGGAUUUUUAAGUGAGAUGUGAAAUACUCGGGCUUAACCUGAGUGCUGCAUUUCAAACUGGAAGUCUAGAGUGUCGGAGAGGUAAGUGGAAUUCCUAGUGUAGCGGUGAAAUGCGUAGAGAUUAGGAAGAACCCCCGGUGGCGAAGGCGGCUUUCUGGACUGUAACUGACACUGAGGCACGAAAGCGUGGGGAGC